GGAUAUGCAACCUGCCUGUAAAUAGGGAAUAACCCGGUGAAAAGUCGGGAUAAUCCCUAUAUUCUUCUUUCUCCGCAUGGAGGAGGACGGAAAAAUUUAUUGAUUACAGAUGGGCAUGCGUCCCAUUAGCUGGUUGGUAAAGGUAACGGCUUACCAAGGCAACGAUGGGUAGGGGGACUGAGAGGUUGACCCCCCACACUGGUACUGAGACACGGACCAGACUCCUACGGGAGGCAGCAGUGAGGAAUAUUGGUCAAUGGGCGAGAGCCUGAACCAGCCAAGUCGCGUGAAGGACGACGGUUCUAUGGAUUGUAAACUUCUUUUGUAGAGGAAUAACGGCAGCUACGUGUAGCUGAGAUGCAUGUACUCUACGAAUAAGUAUCGGCUAACUCCGUGCCAGCAGCCGCGGUAAUACGGAGGAUACGAGCGUUAUCCGGAAUUAUUGGGUUUAAAGGGUGCGUAGGUGGCGUAUUAAGUCAGUGGUGAAAAGCUGCAGCUCAACUGUAGUCUUGCCGUUGAAACUGAUAUGCUAGAGAGGAGACGAGGUAUGCGGAAUGUGUGGUGUAGCGGUGAAAUGCAUAGAUAUCACACAGAACGCCGAUUGCGAAGGCAGCGUACCAGGCUCCGUCUGACACUGAAGCACGAAAGCGUGGGGAUCAAACAGG
rnacentral:rRNA from 1 species